rnacentral:rRNA from 1 species
CCCGCUCAGAAACUUAAAGGAAUUGACGGGGACCCGCACAAGCGGUGGAUGAUGUGGAUUAAUUCGAUGCAACGCGAAAAACCUUACCUACCCUUGACAUGCCAGGAAUCCUGCAGAGAUGUGGGAGUGCUCGAAAGAGAACCUGGACACAGGUGCUGCAUGGCUGUCGUCAGCUCGUGUCGUGAGAUGUUGGGUUAAGUCCCGCAACGAGCGCAACCUUGUCAUUAGUUGCCAUCAUUAAGUUGGGCACUCUAAUGAGACUGCCGGUGACAAACCGGAGGAAGGUGGGGAUGACGUCAAGUCCUCAUGGCCCUUAUGGGUAGGGCUUCACACGUCAUACAAUGGUCGGUACAAAGGGUUGCCAAGCCGCGAGGUGGAGCCAAUCCCAGAAAGCCGAUCGUAGUCCGGAUCGGAGUCUGCAACUCGACUCCGUGAAGUCGGAAUCGCUAGUAAUCGUGGAUCAGCAUGCCACGGUGAAUACGUUCCCGGGUCUU